rnacentral:misc_RNA from 1 species
GAUGAAGAACGUAGCGAAAUGCGAUAAGUAAUGUGAAUUGCAGAAUUCAGUGAAUCAUCGAAUCUUUGAACGCACAUUGGGCCCGCCAGUAUUCUGGCGGGCAUGCCUGUUCGAGCGUCAUUUCAACCAUCAAGCCCCAGGCUUGUGUUGGGGACCUGCGGCUGCCGCAGGCCCUGAAAACCAGUGGCGGGCUCGCUGUCACACCGGGCGUAGUAGAUUUUAUCUCGCUCAGGGCGUGCUGCGGGUUCCGGCCGUUAAAAAGCCUUUUUUACCCAAGGUUGACCUCGGAUCAGGUAGGAAGACCCGCUGAACUUAAGCAUAUCAAUAAGCGGAGGA